UUAAGAAUUUUGCGCAAUGGGCGAAAGCCUGACGCAGCGACGCCGCGUGGACGAUGAAGGUCUUCGGAUUGUAAAGUCCAGUAAGCAGGGACGAAUAAGCAAGGGGUAAUAUUCCUUGUGAUGACGGUACCUGUCUAAAGCCUCGGCUAACUACGUGCCAGCAGCCGCGGUAAUACGUAUGAGGCGAGCGUUGUUCGGAAUUAUUGGGCAUAAAGGGCGUGUAGGCGGGGGAGUAAGUUAGGUGGGAAAGCCACGGGCUCAACCCGGGAA
rnacentral:rRNA from 1 species